rnacentral:snoRNA from 1 species
CUGUGGUUAUGACUCUCUUAGGACGUCUUUGGAUUUAAGUGUGGAAAAAAAAAAAGCGUAAUUUUUGAGUAGC